CCAGAGUAAUUACUCAAUCAACUUGAUGGCACAGAAACGGGGGAACCAAAUUAGGGGCUUAUCUUUACUGGAAAGGUAAAGAGGGACAUCUCUCAGUCCUAGCCCGUCAGCUAACCUCGUAGGCAUUGAGAGGAGACUAA
rnacentral:sRNA from 2 species